GACGAACGCUGGCGGCGUGCUUAACACAUGCAAGUCGAACGGAAAGGCCCCUUUGGGGGUACUCGAGUGGCGAACGGGUGAGUAACACGUGAGUAACCUGCCCUUGACUUCGGGAUAACUUCAGGAAACUGGGGCUAAUACCGGAUAGGAAUCCUUGCUGCAUGGUGGGGGUUGGAAAGCUUCGGCGGUUUUGGAUGGACUCGCGGCUUAUCAGCUUGUUGGUGGGGUAGUGGCUUACCAAGGCUUUGACGGGUAGCCGGCCUGAGAGGGCGACCGGCCACAUUGGGACUGAGAUACGGCCCAGACUCCUACGGGAGGCAGCAGUGGGGAAUAUUGCACAAUGGGCGGAAGCCUGAUGCAGCAACGCCGCGUGCGGGAUGACGGCCUUCGGGUUGUAAACCGCUUCCAGCAGGGGCGAAGCUUUUGUGACGGUACCUGCAGAAGAAGCACCGGCUAACUACGUG
rnacentral:rRNA from 1 species